AAUCCUAUAGGAUCCUAUAGGAAUUCCUAUAGGAAUUCCUAUAGGAAUUCCUAUAGGAAUUCCUAUAGGAUCCUAUAGGAAUA